rnacentral:rRNA from 1 species
GACGAACGCUGGCGGCGUGCUUAACACAUGCAAGUCGAACGGAAAGGCCCUGCUUUUGUGGGGUGCUCGAGUGGCGAACGGGUGAGUAACACGUGAGUAACCUGCCCUUGACUUUGGGAUAACUUCAGGAAACUGGGGCUAAUACCGGAUAGGAGCUCCUGCUGCAUGGUGGGGGUUGGAAAGUUUCGGCGGUUGGGGAUGGACUCGCGGCUUAUCAGCUUGUUGGUGGGGUAGUGGCUUACCAAGGCUUUGACGGGUAGCCGGCCUGAGAGGGUGACCGGCGACCUUGGGACUGAGAUACGGCCCAGAAUCCUACGGGACGCAGCAGGGGGGAAUAUUGCAGAAUGGGCGGAAGCCUGAUGCAGCAACGCCGCGUGCGGGAUAACGGCCUACGGGUUGUAAACCGCUUUCGCCUGUGACGAAGCGUGAGUGACGGUAAUGGGUAAAGAAGCACCGGCUAACUACGUG